rnacentral:rRNA from 1 species
UACGAAGGGGGCUAGCGUUGCUCGGAAUUACUGGGCGUAAAGGGCGCGUAGGCGGAUGUUUAAGUCGGGGGUGAAAGCCCGGGGCUCAACCUCGGAAUUGCCUUCGAUACUGGACAUCUUGAGUACGGGAGAGGUGAGUGGAACUCCGAGUGUAGAGGUGAAAUUCGUAGAUAUUCGGAAGAACACCAGUGGCGAAGGCGGCCCGCUGGGCAGUGGCUGACGCUGAGGCGCGACAGCGUGGGGAGCAAACAGG